CCAAAGGUUCUUCUCAGAGCCACCACUUCUGCACCAAACGAGCAUU
rfam:Danio rerio chromosome 7, GRCz11 reference primary assembly.